CACUAACAUCGUUGCACCACUCCCUAAAUAUAUGUACUUUGCUAACCCUAUGUCUUUUUAUACACUUCUAUAAGAUAAGUAUCAACCGAGCAGUUCUUGGAAGAUGUGAGAGUAAGGGGUUAACAGAAAAGAUAGUCUGCAGCUCUUUAAACAGUGUCAAUUUGACCCAGUCACUCCUGCAGACUACCUCCUUUUUGUUCUCAUUCGUACUUAGUUCCACUGUUAUCUCUUGGGAGAGUAACAUAGAGUAGGUUAUAGCCAGACUUAAGUAAAAUUUCUUUUAAAGCUACUAAAUAUACUAGAUAUAAUAUGGGCAAGAAGUGCAACACAUUCCCUUCAAAUGGGAGUAAAAGGCAGUAUGAUUUGCAAGAGCAUCACUGAAAAGAAUGUUUACUGAAUGUUCACUGUGGGCAUGGUCCUUCUGGAUGUCUGUUACAUUUAUACCUGCCCCAAAACUUUGGGCAGGUGUGACAUAAGCUCUCAGUAUCAGUGCAGGGGGGUCAGAGGGGUAGGCUUAGGUAUGCAGAAAGUUAUUUGUCAUUUUCAACAGGUAAUAAAUGUAUGGGUUUUUUUUAAAGAUUUUAAUAACUAAUUUAAGCAUGCUCUAACUUUUUAAUACGGCAUGAUAUAUGGGGAGAAGAUAUUUAGGUGAUAUAAAAUUUGCCAAGAUGAACUCAUGUAUCAGGUCAUUUACAUUCAAUUGAAAAUCAGCUGUAUAUCUUUUUAAGAAAUUUCACUGUGAAACAACAGACAUAGGUACAAAAUAAUCAGAUAUUUUAUUAGAAUCCCAAUAAUUAGUGGGGAAAAAUCCCUAAAUACCUUUUCUUGAAAUUGAAGAAGGUAUUUCACCUUAAUGAUAAAGGACGUAACUUAAAGGCCAGGAUCCUCAAAUAAAAGUAAUAUAAUAACUUUU
rnacentral:lncRNA from 1 species